rnacentral:rRNA from 1 species
GACGAACGCUGGCGGCGUGCUUAACACAUGCAAGUCGAACGGAAAGGCCCUGCUUUUGUGGGGUGCUCGAGUGGCGAACGGGUGAGUAACACGUGAGUAACCUGCCCUUGACUUUGGGAUAACUUCAGGAAACUGGGGCUAAUACCCGAUAGGAGCUCCUGCUGCAUGGUGUGGGUUGGAAAGUUUCGGCGGUUGGGGAUGGACUCGCGGGUUAUCCGCUUGUUGGUGGGGUAGUGGCUUACCAAGGCUUUGACGGGUAGCAGGCCUGAGAGGGUGACCGGCCACAUUGGGACUGAGAUACGGACCAGACUCCUACGGGAGGCAGCAGUGGGGAAUAUUGCACAAUGGGCGGAAGCCUGAGGCAGCAACGCCGCGUGCGGGAUGACGGGCUUCGGGUUGUAAACCGCUUUCGCCUGUGACGAAGCGUGAGUGACGGUAAUGGGUAAAGAAGCACCGGCUAACUACGUG